GCGCAUGCCUGAAAACUUGUGGUCUAAGCUACUAACUGAGAACAUCGAUUCUCUCCACAGGCUUAGGGGAAAGUCCCCGGACACUAAGCAGAAAUGCUCUGCCUAAAACGCAGAAGGGCCUAUCCGGUGGUGCGCGGAAGAGCUGCCGAGACGUCUAUGCAAAGCUGACCGAGCAGAGCGCAGCCGGAUACCUUGGUCACAGUUAGAGAAAUACAGGUAGGGAGUGAAAUACUCUACCAGAACGGGGCUCAGUCUCAGGAUGUG
ensembl:ribozyme RNase_MRP RNase MRP